rnacentral:rRNA from 1 species
AACGAACGCUGGCGGCAUGCCUAACACAUGCAAGUCGAACGAGACCUUCGGGUCUAGUGGCGCACGGGUGCGUAACGCGUGGGAACCUGCCCUUAGGUUCGGAAUAACUCCCAGAAAGGGGUGCUAAUACCGGAUAAUGUCUUCGGACCAAAGAUUUAUCGCCUUUGGAUGGGCCCGCGUUGGUUUAGCUAGUUGGUAGGGUAAAAGCCUACCAAGGAGACGAUCCAUAGCUGGUCUGAGAGGAUGAUCAGCCACACUGGGACUGAGACACGGCCCAGACUCCUACGGGAAGCAGCAGUGGGGAAUAUUGGACACUGGGCGAAAGCCUGAUCCAGCAAUGCCGCGUGAGUGAUGAAGGCCUUAGGGUUGUAAAGCUCUUUUACCCGGGAUGAUAAUGGCAGUACCGGGAGAAUAAGCUCCGGCUAACUCCGUG